AGGCACGUAGCUCAGCGGUAGAGCAUCACCUUGACAUGGUGGUGGUCGUUGGUUCGAUCCCAAUCGUGCCUACCA
rnacentral:tRNA from 1 species